GAUAAUAGACAGCUGCAUAGCUGAGAGUGAGCUGCACUAGGAAGGCAGAUACGGCUGUUCAGGAGGAAGGCAAAUGAAUUGAGCGUGAAAGUUAACAAAGGUCAUCUCUUCCAACUUCAGCAUCACAUCUUUAUCCUUGCCUCCAUCCUCGCACACUGCAAACAUUUAAGAACCAAAAGUUUUCAAACAAAUCAAAGUUUGAACAGCUUCAACUCUAGCAAGCACAAUGACCCAAGCAGUGACCAAUGAAACAUACAACUACAGCUAUGAGGGUGAGGAGUAUAUGAAUCAAGAAGAAGACUGGGAUCGGGACAUGCUUUUGGAUCCAGCAUGGGAAAAACAGCAGAGAAAGACAUUUACAGCCUGGUGCAAUUCACAUUUAAGGAAAGCAGGAACAAUGAUUGAGAACAUUGAAGAAGAUUUCAGAAAUGGCCUCAAGCUGAUGCUUCUUCUCGAAGUAAUUUCAGGACAACGGUUGCCAAAACCUGACAGAGGAAAGAUGCGUUUCCAUAAAAUUGCCAAUGUCAACAAAGCUUUGGACUUCAUUGCCAGCAAAGGAGUAAAACUAGUAUCAAUUGGAGCAGAAGAAAUUGUUGAUGGGAAUAUAAAGAUGACACUGGGUAUGAUCUGGACCAUAAUCCUUCGCUUUGCUAUUCAGGACAUCUCUGUAGAAGAAACCUCUGCAAAAGAAGGUUUGCUGUUAUGGUGCCAGCGAAAGACUGCUCCAUAUCGCAAUGUCAACAUUCAGAAUUUCCACACAAGCUGGAAAGAUGGUCUUGGGCUGUGUGCCCUCAUUCACAGACAUCGUCCUGACCUCAUUGAUUACUCCAAGCUAAAUAAGGAUGAUGCUGUUGGAAACAUUAACCUAGCUAUGGAAGUUGCAGAAAAAUACCUGGAUAUUCCAAAGAUGCUGGAUGCAGAAGACAUUGUAAAUACGGCUAAACCAGAUGAAAGAGCUAUUAUGACUUAUGUGUCAUGCUUUUACCAUGCAUUCGCCGGAGCUGAACAGGCAGAAACAGCAGCUAAUCGAAUUUGUAAAGUCCUGGCUGUGAACCAAGAAAAUGAAAGAAUGAUGGAAGAGUAUGAGAGACUUACAAGUGAGCUACUAGAAUGGAUUCGUCGGACGAUUCCCUGGCUGGAAAACCGCACACCAGAGAAGACCAUGCAAGCCAUGCUGAAGAAACUGGAGGAUUUCAGAGAUUAUCGGCGCAAGCACAAACCACCGAGGGUGCAGGAGAAGUGUCAGCUGGAGAUCAACUUUAAUACCUUACAGACAAAGCUAAGAAUAAGCAAUAGGCCAGCAUUCAUGCCAUCCGAGGGAAAGAUGGUUUCAGAUAUUACAAAUGCCUGGCAAAGGCUGGAGCAGGGAGAAAAGGGAUAUGAAGAGUGGCUGCUUAAUGAGCUGAGAAGACUUGAAAGAGUGGAGCACUUGGCUGAAAAAUUUAGGCAAAAAGCCUCCUUGCAUGAAUCUUGGACUGCCGGGAAAGAGCAACUGCUGUCCCAGAAGGACUAUGAGACGGCAUCUUUAACAGAAGUGCGCGCCCUGCUGAGGAAACACGAGGCAUUUGAGAAUGAUCUGGCCGCACGCCAAGACCGGGUAGAACAGAUUGCUGCCAUUGCACAGGAGCUCAAUGAGCUUGAUUAUUAUGAUGCAGCCCGAAUCAAUGAAAGAUGUCAGAAAAUAUGUGACCAAUGGGAUCGCCUCGGAACCUUAACACAGAAAAGAAGGGAAGCUCUCGAGCGAACCGAGAAGCUCUUAGAGACUGUUGACCAACUGCAUUUAGAAUUCAUUAAGAGAGCUGGACCUUUCAACAUCUGGAUGGAGGGAGCAAUGGAAGAUCUACAGGAUAUGUUUAUUGUGCACAAUGUAGAAGAAAUUCAGAAACUGAUCACUGCCCAUGAACAAUUUAAAGCCACGCUGCCGGAAGCAGACAGUGAAAGACAGGCUAUACUGGGCAUCCAAAACGAAGUGGAAAAAGUGAUUCAAAGCUAUAACAUAAAAAUAUCCUCUCACAAUCCUUACAGCACCAUCACACUGGAUGAAAUUCGCACCAAGUGGGAAAAGGUGAAACAAUUGGUGCCCAUGAGAGAUCAGACGUUACAAGAAGAGUUGGCUCGCCAGCAAAAUAAUGAACGUUUGCGCCGACAGUUUGCUGCACAAGCAAAUGUUAUAGGCCCUUGGAUACAAAGCAGGAUGGAGGAAAUUGGACGCAGCUGCCUUGACUCUACAGGCACCCUGGAAGAUCAGAUGAACAGUCUGAAGAUGCUUGAACACAACAUUGUUAAUUACAAGCACAAUGUGGACAAGCUGGAAGGUGAUCACCAGAUGAUUCAGGAAUCCCUCAUAUUUGAUAACAAGCACACAAGUUAUUCAAUGGAGCACAUCCGCGUUGGUUGGGAGCUAAUGCUAACUACAGUAGCUAGAACCAUCAAUGAGGUUGAAACCCAAAUUCUUACACGGGAUGCAAAAGGGAUCACCCAGGAGCAAAUCAACGAAUUUCGUUCUUCGUUUAACCACUUUGAUAAGAAGAAGAACAGGCUGAUGGAACACGAUGACUUCAGGGCUUGUUUAAUUUCAAUGGGUUAUGAUCUGGGAGAAGCAGAAUUUGCUCGGAUUAUGGCCCUUGUAGAUCCCACUGGAACAGGAACAAUCUCUUUCCAGUCUUUUAUUGAUUUCAUGACCAGGGAGACUGCAGAAACAGACACAUCAGAACAAGUGAUUGCUGCAUUCAGGAUCCUAGCUGCUGACAAGCCUUAUAUAUUAGCAGAAGAACUCCGCAGAGAACUGCCUCCGGAACAAGCUCAAUACUGCAUAUCCAAAAUGCCCACUUACACCGGCCCUGGUGCCGUCCCCGGAGCACUCGACUUUACGUGUUUUUCCUCAGCUUUAUAUGGAGAAAGUGAUCUGUAGCUGCUUUUGAUUUGCACACUUGAAAAAAAAACAGUAUUAAUGAAGAAUACAAAAUAAAGCUUACAGGUAUGGGAUCUGUUACCCGGAAAACCCAUUAACCAGAAAGCUCCGAAUUACGCAAAGGCCAUCUCCCAUAGACUCCAUUUUAUCCAAAUAAUCCAAAUUUUUUAAAAUGAUUUCCUUUUUCUCUGUAAUAAUAAAACUGCAUCUUGUACCUGA